rnacentral:lncRNA from 1 species
AUGUUUUAAUAAUGGACACCAUAUUAGCUUCUCGUGGAAACUCUGAUCUUCGUCGGAAUAAGUUUACUCCUAUUGCUUUAAGUUCUUUAGUUUCAAGCAUUAGAAAGCUAAUAAUGUUUUGGUUCUAUCGACCUAUGUUAAGCAUAGGUGCUAUCGAAGACGUACUCACCUUGUUGACUAAACCACAUACUUAAAUAAAUGCUAGAGGUAAGUCGACUUUGUAUUUGUAAUAUGAACAAAGCUUUUUUAAUAGGAGUUACAAGUUCAUUAUUAUAGUUUCUCUUUACUUUUGAAAGUCAUCUACAUUUGUUAUAAAAUUUAUCAAUUUGUAUAAGCUUUACACAAAAGACUUACAAACGAUUUGGUCGAGAAGAACAAUUUUACUUUUCAAAAGAAAGAGUACAAUUUUACUUUAAAAAAAGAACAAUUUUAUCAUUUCUUUUUGGACGUUUUUGACUUAAUGCCAUCUCUAAUGUAUUUUAUUAUUUUUACUUCUAAAAUAAAAUAAUUGUAUAAUAAAAUUGAAAUAUACUCCAAUGUAUUUUAUUAAAAUAAUAAUUUUUAAAUAU